GUUCUCUGCAGCUCAGUUGGUAGAGCAUGGUGCUUGCAACGUCAGGAUUGUGGGUUUGAUUCCCAUUGGGACCA
rnacentral:tRNA from 1 species